UACGGAGGAUGCAAGCGUUAUACGGAUUUAUUGGGUUUAAAGGGUGCGCAGGUUGUUUGAUAAGUCAGUGGUGAAAGUCUGUCGCUUAACGGUAGGAUUGCCAUUGAUACUGUUGGACUUGAAUAUGGAUGAGGUAGGCGGAAUGUGUAGUGUAGCGGUGAAAUGCAUAGAUAUUACACAGAACACCGAUUGCGAAGGCAGCUUACUAAUCCAUCAUUGACGCUGAGGCACGAAAGCGUGGGGAUCAAACA
rnacentral:rRNA from 1 species